rnacentral:misc_RNA from 1 species
AAAAAAAAAUACCAAGAAGAGCGCACACGCACACAAAGCCGAGGACACCGGGCACAGAGGGAUCUGAGGCGUAUCUCAGUGCCACCAGCACAGGCAUAUAUACACUAGCAGGAAGCGGGGCGUUUGCUUUACAUGCGCGUCCGCGCCUUGCUGCUCACACCUUCCUCGGGAUUUCUCUUUCUUCCAUCUUCCUCUCUCUCGCUCUUCGAUCUCCGGCGUCCGGCUCCGCGUUUUCUCUCUUCUAUACGCUGUUGACGCGGAGGCCCUGCCCUGUCCUUUACAUUCACCUCGUUGCCACCACGUCCAGAGGAGCGACUGUGAAAGCAAAGUCGCAUCCACACACACACACACACACACACACACCAACACAAAGGUCAGACACAGCGAGUUUUCCUCGCUGCUCUUUUUGGGUUUGUUGUGCGUUCCCUUGUAACGUCUUCCCGGCUCUCAGUCUCGCGCACCCUUUCUCUCUCUGUUCAUAUUACUCCCUGCAUUUCUAUCCGCCCCCGCUGUUCACCGCGACACUCAUACACAUAUCGGACACACUCACACACGCAUACAUACGUAUACACGUGCGACUGCCGCCUCAGACACUGAGUUGCUUAUUUUCACUUGUUGCUGUUUGGUUGUGUGUGUGUGUGUGCCUGUGUGUGCAUCCCCCUUUUAUAUGACAAACUUGUCUGGUGGUGGUGGUUGUUCUCUCCCAGAUUCCCGCGUCCUCCACUCGUCCUUCCCUCACCACAUCUUGUGCGUGUGUGUGUGUGGCGCUUCUUUGCCCCUCUGUCUCUCUCUCUCUCUGCCAAGCUGUGUGAGUGUGCGUCUCGUAUCGGAACCCUGUCACCGGCUUUCCUCUCGCCCCUCCUCCCUCUUCUUUUCUUUUUCGCGGUGCCUUUUAUGUAUGCGUCACUUCGCUGGUGUGCACGUUUAGAUGUGCAUAUGUGUGUGUAUAUAUAUGCGUAUGCGUAUGUUAUGUGCUGCUGCUGUUGUUGUUGAUGCGUUCACCACUUUUUUUUUACCGGCUGAGUUGCUGUGUUCCUAUAUUUCUUUCUUCUUCCCGAAACGCUUUUGUUUCGUCGUUGUGGCUCGCUUGGUGGCUAUUCUCUGUCUCUUUCUCUGUGUGCGUAGUCUUCCUUCUUUUUCUUUACGAAUACCACCCGCCAUCCCGACGCUAUUGCAUCACCCGCCCACCCACCUUGCAGAUCGCCGUCUGUCUGCGUCUUUUACGGUUCCUCGGGCCUCUCCCUUUUUUGUCUUCACAGCACUUGACUCGUGUGUGCGUGCGUGCGUUGUUGUAUGCUGGCGUUCAUUUUUCCUUGUCUUUGUCCCGUCUUUUUGCACAUUGGACGUCGGGGGCUCGACCUUUCCUGCCUUUCCUGCUUCCGUCGUUACAUUAUUAUUUUGUUUUCACGGGGUCAUCGAAUACGCAUCACCUGUGCUUUUUAGGCAUUGCUUUUCUCCUUGUGCGCUGCGGGUCUUUUUGUUUUCCGCGCGCUCUAUCCUUGUGCCCCAUCCCCCCACCCCUUCCCACCCACCUGGGGAUCACGGCGCGAACUCGUUGCACCUCUUAUCGCUUCGGCUGUUAACUGUGCAUCUCCGUAUCUCUAUAUUUUGCUCAGUUUAUCCUUCCCCCUUUUUCACGUUGUUCCUGUUGCGUUGUUCUUGCUCUCUCUGUCUCUGUGCGUGUGUGUGCCUAUUAGACCGUGCGGCUGCUAAGGGGUGGGGGUGGUGGCGGCGUCGUUGUUUCUUGCUGAUAUACCGUACAGGCAUGUGUAUGCGUAUGGCCUUUCAGCUCCACCUUUGAAAACAGAAAGGAAACACAAGGAUUCCGACUUUUUUUUUUCGUCUUUCUCGGCCGCUGCAGCCACGCGUGGGAGUUUUUUUUGGUUUGUCUGUGCAUGUGUUUGGGUGUGUUGACGGCGUGGAGCGCGUCCUUCCGACGAACAUUUUAUCUCGUUGCCAUCGUGUUCCUCACGCACCUCAGUUUUCUCCUCCGAGGUUCGCAUUCUAUCGAAUCCCGUCAGUUUUUUUUUUGUGUCGUGUUCGCCGUUAUUUGCUGUUCGCUGUGCUCCAACGCACGAGUGCAUCUCGACACACGAACACACGAGCGACUAUUCGGGGGGCUCUUUCGAAACUGUUGCGUUCAACGCGCACCUCUUGCGUCUGCCAGUAGCAGACGAAGAGGAAGAUCCAGACCACUAAUCCGCAGCAGAGCCGAAACAGACCGGUAGGCCGCACAAGGAGGAGAAGGACCCUGCAAGGUAAGUGAACAGAACAGCAUUGGGGCUGGAGUAGACGAGCGACGAAGAGCAGAGGGGGGGUGCACACGUAUACAACGUGCCUCUCUUCGGCACUCUCGCGCGCCCCCUUCCUGUUUACUUUUUUCUCUCAUCGUCGACUUCGCAUCUCCUGUGAGAGCGCGCUUGACGCCAUCAGACGCACGGCACUACCUCAGCCUCCUCUAUAAUUUCUUUUUUUUUGAUUUUGUGCGUGCGUCUGUUCCUCUGUCCGUCUCUAUCUGAUCAGUCGUCCUUUCCACCGUUCCCUUGCUGCGCUGCACCGCCUCCUUUGUUUUCUUGCCUUUUUUUCUUAGGAUUAUAAAAUCUUGUUUUGUCGUUGUUGCGCUCUCCCGUCUCCCUCCCUCUCUGCUGGUCCGGCUCGUCCGUUUUUGUGUGCAGCUUUCUUUUUUUUCUUCUUUCGUGCUAUCGGACGCUUUUUCGUGCUUGCCUUGCCUUGUGUGUGAGUGGACGUAGAGAGCGGACUGAGCGAUACGGGUAGCCUACUUGAAGUGAGCCGAUACCCCCGAUCUGCAACGGGCACGAGCACACGCCGCGCGCACGCGUACGAAAGGGGAAGGGAAGGUGCCAUGAAGAGGGCGUUCUUGAAGGCACAGCGAAAAGACAACUCAGCGACACGCAGGAGCGCAGAAGACGAGAAGGUGAUUUGAAGCCGUGCUAGUGUGAGAGAGACGAAACGAAGCAAGGAAAGCGGGGGUUUUGCGACCAACACAGGCACCGCUUCGGCGUUUAUAUCCAGCCCUGACCCUCCACUCCCUUCGUGACGCGACUGCGUCGCAUCUCUCUCCUUCCCUCUUUCACUUGCCUUUUCCAGUAUUUUUUUUUCUGCAUUCGUCGCUGCGAACCUGGCGCAGUUUCGAAAAAAAAAAUGUCUUCCAGGUCUGAUGCUCCAGGGCCGCUGCCGUCGGCAUCGCAAUCCGGGUCGCCACUGGCACCAACGGCGUCAGCGCCCUCACGGCAACGGCGUGUCACUCAUAGCCACUUCCCGUCCGCGCAUGGUUUAGCCGGUGCUGCUGACGCAGCCGCGUCCGGUACUCUUCAACCGCUGUGCACCGCUGUGUUCUCACCUGAGGGGCACGCAAUCAUGACGCCCUUUCUGUCGGCGGAGUCGGUGGUGCAGGCCGUGGUGACGCCUGAGAGUGACCCAGCUCCCACUACUGCUGCCACUACGGACGAGGAUUGCCGCGCGCCCCACAUGGCAGUCACCCCAGCCGUGCUGGCAUCCGCGAGUGGUGCCUCGCCUGCCACAGAUGAAGGCGUAGUUGUGACGACGCUCACCUCACUGGAAAGCGCGACGAUGCCGUCUUCUGCCUCCCCGCAGUCUUCGACAAAGACGCGUGCGUGGCUUGCAAAUCAACGCCGGCCUCGCCCCAUGCCGUACCCAUCUUCCAUUGCUGUCAGUAGCGGCUAUCUUUUGCGCCUCGGCCACGGCACCGACAGCACCAUCGUUCCCUCACGUGAUACCGCAGAGGUGCUGAAGCAGCCGCAGACACCACCGCCGCCGCCGCCGCCGCUGGUGCCGCUUCCCGCAUCAUCGACGAACGCUACAGCGUCUGCGGUGCCCGCGUUUUUGCACUUGUUGAGCCCCACCAAAUCGCCAACGGCCACAGCGACAGUGCUUUCGAGUUCGACGAUGGUGCAUACGCCCUCUUCUAUCACCGCGACGGCCGCGCGCGGCCGAGGAAGAAGCAACGCCGCUGCCGCCCGCAGCAGCCCAGACGCACCUUACAUCUCCGCGCCUUUUGCCACUGACACCGCGGAUGACGACUCUGGCGUCCCGGUGGCGCUGGGGAUAUCCCCCGCUGAUGGGCUGCACAGCACUGCGGCACUCGCCGUCAGCUCGCCCAACAGCCACCACACGACAAGAAUGGGCAGCACAUCCGAGGCUAACCUGCCAUAUAGUGCUCGCAGUGGUUGUGCUGGCAUCGACGUCGGACGCAAUGCGGACUCUCAUGACUGGAGUACAAGCAUGGUGAGUCACGGCGAGCUGAUGCCACCAACUGCGCAUGUGUCGCUCACGAGCAUCGCUGCUGCUGCUGCUGGCGGCCCUUCUGCGCACACCACGAGCGACUGCACAGCGUGUGCUCGUGUAGGGACAAUGCCGACAGCGACCGAGGUGGUGAGCGCUCCACGUGACUACAUGGGUUGCCUUCCCUCUCCGCCUUUGAGCGCGAGCCGGGGGCCGCAGCCUCGACAGCAGCAGGCGCUCUAUGACUAUGGCAGCGGCGGCAGCGGUAGUGGGGCCAAUAACAUCAGCCGUGGAGCCUUUGGCGCCAGCUGGCCGCGGGGCGGCAGUGGGGUCCUGCGCCGCGCUCGCGCUGACAUCGGCGACAGUCAUGUGCUACGGGUAGCGGGCGCCCUUCAGAGAUCCGGAGUGUCUCAAGAGCUGACCCCGAACGUUCCUAUGGAGGAGAGUGAUGGGCAGAUCCCGCCAGCGGCGCAUGGGCGGCAGCCGUGGUCUGCCUUGCAGUGUGGGCUGAUGGCCGUUAGUGACGGCGGUACGAUCACGGGCGGCGCUGCUGUCGAGGCACAGAGAGGGGCAUCAAGCAGCGGUGGGGACGCUGGCGCUGAAGCGGCUUUGGCAGCGGGAGCAGCGGCACGCGCGUACGAAGUCGAUCCGAUUGCUUUCGUGCUCUCGGGUACCCAACGCGGCCGUAGUGGCGAAGGCGGCGCCCGCCCAACCAGCACGGCGACGUCGCGGCCGGUGAGUCUAUCCCGCGGCGGCUGCCACUCCUCCCCGGCGGCGCAGCGAGAGGCUUUCCGUGGACGCGCUGACGAUCCGGCUGCUGCGACCAAUGAGCUCUCGCCGUUGCCAGGUUACUGCAAGAGCGCGCGGGUAGUACUGUCUGCUGCCUACGCGGCCGCAAACAGGGGCGUCAGCGAGGCGAGCAAGGGCUGGGACGAGUCUGGCUGUGUGGACUCUGCAUUGAUGCCAUGGGCGCCGCCGACGGGUGAUGAGGCGCUUCGCAACCCCUAUCAAGCCUUUCGCAUGCAUCGUUACCACACGGGGACAGAGACGCAGCCGUCGCAGCACGGGGUAAUGCGUGAGGUGAGCCAGCAGCACCAGCGCCAGCGGCUACCUGCGGCGGGAAGCAAAAACGCCCCGGAGGCAGCCAGCGAGCAGAGUGGCGAAGACGAAGGGCAGCAAGCUUGGCAGCGGCAGACGCGGCACUGCAAGGAGCAGCAGGCGUACCCUGGGGCACCGGCACGCCAGCCGGACGGGGCUACGGUUGUGUCAUCGCUGCGCCGCUUCCUUUCCAUAAUUCCUGCCGCGUCACCCCCCGACGAGUCGCCGCCGCCGCAGCAGCAAAGGGGCAGUGUAGGCAACCGCGAUCGCGCAUUACCAUUUCAGUAUCUGCAGAGCACUUCCUUGCCGUCGUCGUCAGCGAUGGCUGCUGCGGCGACCACGCCAUCUCCAUCGCCUGCCGCUGCCACGCCGCCGUCGCCGACACCACCGGUGCCCCCCAUCUUCGCUCUCUUUGGCGCGCUUGAGCGGCUCUCCCGCUUCUCUGAGAUGGUGCAGCUGUGCCAAGAGCACGCCGACGUUCUGGACGACUUCUUGGCUCGUCUCACCCUCCAGCUGCACCGCAACUCGUGCGCACUGCCGUUGCUGGCCAGUGGCGCGAACCCCGCCCGCAGCCAGUCAUCGCCGCCGUCGUUGGCAACGAGCGCCGCGCACGACGACUCGGAGUUCCUUCGAUGGCAUCGGAUCAUCAUGUUCCUGCUUCGCCAACCAUCAGAGCUGGUGAAGGUCGGUGCCGAGUUUUUCACUGACGCGGUCAACUCCUGGCCGCUACACAUGCUGUAUCUGACCUGCUGCUUCUACGUGAUGGCGCGCGAGCACGGCUACGAUGCGCUAGCGACGGCCUUAUGCAGGGGCGGCAUCUUCUGCUCAGGCAAAGGACUCUUCGCCGCCUUGGCCGUGUCGAUGGCGCAGAGCGAGGAGGACCUGAUUCGUUCCACCGCGUGCAUGUACCGCGCCGCCUUCUACACCGGCGUGCUUAUGCGCAAGCGCCAUCAGCACUUUGAGACGGAGACGCGCCUGACUGCAAAUGGGGGCUUUACGCUGUUGGUGGUGAACAUCCCCAUCAUCACGCUGCGACGCCUCGUCGCGCGGGUGAACGAGGGAUACGACGUGUUUGCCUCCUUGCGUGACAUUUACAAGGGGAAUGAGACGGAGCGGGGCAGCACCUGGCUCAACGUGAACAGCAACAACACGGCUGUCAGCGCCGGCACCGCCUCUACCCCUCGGAGGCGUUGUGGCGGGCCACUGUACUCACCGAACUCGUCCAGCGCUCACGCGUCAGCCUUGUUACCCUUCGCGCGCUCCAUGCCGCAUUAUCCACGCUCGGUGAUUGAGGUGAGCCGCGUCAUCAGCAAUCGAUCCGCCGUGCUCUGCGGCCACCCGCUGGACAUGCUGCGGUUGGAUAUGAUCCUCGCCCGCUUCGCGGAUUUUAACGAUGUGAAGAUCCACAAGGAGUACCUCCCUGCUGGCGGUCCAGAGAACAGCUACUUCUUCAACAAGCACAUGGCGCACGAGCUCAUGGGGCUGUGGAAGGCGCGCGGGGUCUCCUUCUCGCUUGCCAGCGUGCAUCUGCCCGUGCACUCGCCGGUGAACGGUGACUUGUGGGCAGCGUCGCUGCGAGUGCCAUUUAGCCCCCCGGCACCGCCAGAUAUGUCGGCUGCCACGAUGGCGUCAGCCUACGCGAGCAACGCCAUCUUGUCUUCUGUGGCACCUCCAUCAACGGCGGGGUACCGCGACGAGUGGUGGAUGUUCAACGUUGCCGAGGCGGCGACGUGCUCCAACCAGGACCUGACCUACUCCCUGCGCCACAUGCAGGACGGCAGUGUGCUGCUCGACUUCUCCACCCACGCAAUGAGGAUUGGGCGGCUGAUUGCGUGGACGAACAAGUCGAUCACGGUACUCGCGGCGCCAGAGAACCGUCACGAGUCGUCGGCGAUGCCGCCGCCGCGGCGCAGCCCAAAAGACGAGGCCGUACGCAACACAAUGAAGAAGCUCGCCAUAAUCAACAAUGUUCUUCGAGAGGUCGGUGACAGGACUGAGCAACCGCCUGACGCUCUGGCAAACCCUUCCGUGGAGCUGUCCACCACCUUCACGGAGCUAGGGCUGCUGGAGGUACUGCAAGGGCCGCGGGAGCGUGCCGGGACAUGUCGCUUCGGCGCGCCGACGCGCGCCGCCUCCGUGGUACCAAGCGAGCGGCAGAGCGGCCACCAUGGUCACGGCAUCACGAGGCUCGGCAACGUGCCGUCCGGAGCUGGUGUGGCGUCUGAGGCGCCAUCCGCAUGGCGACUGGAUGCCGCCAAUUCACUGGGGGGGCCUCGUGGCGUCGCUUCAUCCAACGGCAAGGCCGCGGGCCGGCGCCUGAAGCCGAGCAUCGGCGCUCUCGUAUCGCUGAAAAGGGCUUCCGCCAACAGCGCGAACGCGAGCAUCCCGGCCACGGCCAGCAAUCUAAACAACCCGAACGCCAUCGGCUACAGACAUAAGGACAGCCUGUCGCUGAGCUCUGCGGGCGCCAUCGCCGGCUGUCUCGGUGGCGAGCUGUGGCACACGAUAAGCCCAGUUGGCCAGUCCGAUGCAAGCAGCGAUCAGCGUACGCCAACAGUAAUGUCCAUGUCCAUCGGCGCUCUCGCAUCGCUGCAGCCCAAGACGGAGGAGGCGUCUGUCGUUGGUGGUGCCAGCCUCUCUGCCCCGCCGGCGCCGUUCUUUGUGCCACAGGAGACGUACUUGCGGCCCAGCGCCGUCUCAGCAGGCCGCGGCCGCAACGGCGCUGUGGUGGUCUCCGAUUCCCUUCAUGAAGGCCCGGCCUCCGGUUUCGCUCUUCCAUCGGAUGUGGUGGCGCGGCUGGUGAGUGAGCCGGAGCGUAUCCCGGCGCACCGCGUACGCUCGGCACCUAGCGGACAGAACAGCCCGCACAUUGAGGCGCCUGGCAACACCGCCUCGCGGCGGACGCGGGGCAUUCAGCGCGAGGCGCCCGUGGAGGGGGACCACUCGAAUACUGAGAGAGUCAGUGCGGUGGCGUUUGACGACAACAGCGCUGAUGUCUGCCGCGUUUCCGGUGACACCCCUACCCACGCCGCGGAGUGCUUUCCGGCUUCCAUGUAUGAGAAUGGCUUUGUGAUUCGCCGCAACAACGACUACGCCGGUAUUGUGAACGUAUAUCAAGUCUCCGCUCUGAUCACGUACUACGAGAUGCAGUUUAACUCCGUCCUCUGCGACGGCGCCGUUCUGUUCGCCAGGUUGCUCAAGAGGGCAUCUGGCAUUGCCUUUCCCUCAUACACGCUGUUGCUCUGCCCGACGGUGUUUUCUCUGCUGGAGUUGUGGGACGGCUACGAGUUUGAGGAGCUGUGGAGGCGUUCCCUCAGCGCCCCGGUAUGCAGUCGUGCCACAUCGCCCAUCUCUGCUGGUCUGAUGUGAGUCUUCCCCCUUCUGGCACCGUGGCUCCGCCUGGGUCUCUCUGCGGGUUUGUGUGCAUAGAUGUAGGUAUGCAGGUGUUCACAUCACACACACACCCGUGGGCACGUGUUAACAUCGGUGGAUAUCUUUCGUUAUGUCGUCUGGUGCCCUUUUAUUUUUCACGAUUUUUUUUUUCGUAUCCUGUGUUGAUCCUUCUUGUUACGUGUCAUUUUCGUUGUCGUCUCGCAUCUCAUGUGCGGUAGCAGGCGUACACCCCACUCCCCCCUGCGAUGUUUUUUUCGCGCGUGUGUGUAUGGAGGGGGGAGGAGGAAGAGCGACAAGAAGGGAGCGCAGGGGAAAAAGGCAAGGCUCACCUCAAAACAAACAAGUGAGCAACAAUCAAGAGAGCGCGGGAUUUUCUGGGUGCCGUUGCACGUUUCUGUCUGCACCUCCCCACCCCCUUCCUCCUUUCCUUCCGUUCUCUCUAUAGCACUUCUCUCUCCCUUCUCCUUUUUUGCUUUUUUUUUUCGUGUUCGUGCUUGAGCGACACCUGCACGUGCGCAUGCCGCGCACUACACGCACACACACGG